rnacentral:rRNA from 1 species
UACGAAGGGGGCUAGCGUUGUUCGGAAUCACUGGGCGUAAGGCGCACGUAGGCGGAUGUGUCAGUCAGGGGUGAAAUCCCGGGGCUCAACCUCGGAACUGCCUUUGAUACAGCACGUCUCGAGUCCGGAAGAGGUGGGUGGAAUUCCUAGUGUAGAGGUGAAAUUCGUAGAUAUUAGGAAGAACACCGGUGGCGAAGGCGGCCCACUGGUCCGGUACUGACGCUGAGGUGCGAAAGCGUGGGGAGCA